UACGUAGGGGGCAAGAGUUGUCCGGAUUUAUUGGGCGUAAAGAGCGUGUAGGCGGCCAGGUAGGUCCGUUGUGAAAACUAGAGGCUCAACCUCUAGACGUCGAUGGAAACCAUCUGGCUAGAGUCCGGAAGAGGAGAGUGGAAUUCCUGGUGUAGCGGUGAAAUGCGCAGAUAUCAGGAAGAACACCCGUGGCGAAGGCGGCUCUCUGGGACGGUACUGACGCUGAGACGCGAAAGCGUGGGGAGCGAACAGG
rnacentral:rRNA from 1 species